CACAAGAGUCUGUUUUUUCCAUCACGCAUCGUGAAGGCAAGCGGCAUUUGGCUGCCAAACCCCUGUGUUAUUUUUUCUGAAAACACAGAUAUAUAACUUGUGCUUCGAAAAUCAACCUUGUGAAUUAAGAGCAUUGAUCUUAACGUAUUGCAAAAUGUAUGUGUCUCUAUUUUCAGUUGUAAUUUUUACUUUUAGCCUUUGUGCACAGUCAAAUGCAAGCCCUCACAGCCACAAACAUGGAACAGAACGAGAAGUAGAUGGAGCAUAUAGUCCGAGGGAUCAUUCUCACUAUGGAGGGGAAGACCAUAAUGUUGAAUUUGAUCAUGAGGCUAUCUUGGGUAGUACACAAGAAGCAGAAGAAUUUGACCACUUACCUCCAGAAGAAGCAAAGAAAAGAUUAGGUGUUUUGCUUACAAAAAUGGAUGUGGAUAGCAAUAAAGAUAUCACCACCACAGAGCUGAAGCAAUGGAUUCUCAGGUCUUUCAAAUCACUUUCAGAAGAAGAGUCUCGGGAAAAGUUGGCUGAAGUUGACUUAAACAAGGACAAUCAAGUAACUUGGAAUGAGUAUAAAGCUGAAACUUAUGGUGUGGAUGAUGAAAUUGAAGAAGGAAGCAUUUUCUCUGGGAAAGAGCAUGCUGAAGAAAAGGCCUUAAUGAAGAAUGAUAAGGAACUCUUUGAAACAGCAGAUGUAAACAAAGAUGGAAAGCUAGAUUCUCAAGAAUUUUUGUCAUUUACUCAUCCAGAAGAAGCACCUCACAUGCUUGAGGUUAUUUUGAGACAAACUCUUGAAGAGAAAGAUAUCAACAAGGAUGGAUUUAUAGAUUUUCAAGAGUACAUUGGCGAUCGAGAUUCAGAUGUUGAAGUAGCGAAGCAAAAAGAAAUGUUUGACACUGAUUUCGACACUAAUGGGGAUGGACGUUUAGACUCAAUCGAGUUUAAACGAUGGGUAGCCCCAAGUAACGAGGCAAUCAAAAGACAAGGCUUGGUUAAUAGCCGAAAAGGAGAAGUUUGACCACGAGCUGGACUCGGACGCGGAUGGGCGAAUGAGUGCCAGGGAAAUCAUCAGCUGGGUCUUACCUAGCACAGAGGAGAUUGCUGGAGAAGAGGUGGAACACCUUUUCGCGUCAGCCGAUGAUGACCAUGACGGUUUGCUAUCCUUCGAAGAGAUUCUCGAACACCAUGACGUUUUCGUAGGAUCCGAAGCGACAGACUACGGAGACCAUCUCAACAACAUCCAUCGUUUUCAAGACGAACUUUAACAAAAAAAAAAGA